AUGAUAUCAAUUACAUCUGUUAAGGUUCACUUGCACCUUCUUGCUGGUUAGAAAGUGGGACUGUUUUCCAGUUUUGAUAUUACUGACCAUCUCUUUUGCCUCGGAUGUCAGGGAGAAAAAUUAUCUUCAGUAAAACAUCCCCAUUUUGUCGCACUUAGACUUUCCGUCCCCAGGCCAUCCAGAGAGGUUAAUCAAUCCUUAGUGACCUCCAAGAGCCUGCAGUGUAGCUGGAUAAGGCCCCAAUCCAGCAAAGCACUUAAGUAUAUCUUGCUGUAAACAUGUGAACGGUCCUAUUUUUAGUGUAAUUCGGCAGUAAUUCCAUUUUGAAGUAGAGCAUCUCGAAGGAUUCUGCUCCUUGCAAGUGUUGUGCAAGACCUGGCUGCUCCAGCUGCAAGUGAAAACACUGUCCAAGGCCCCUGGCGUCUCUGCACCGAGACCAGAAGGAGUGUAAGGAGCAUUCUGGUGACACCAUGGGACAGAAACUUCUCUGGGUUCAGCGCACCGUGAUAGGAGAAGACAGCUGCAGCAGGCUCGCUCUGAGGCAAACACAUCUUCCCAGGCGUGGAACGUAUUGGCCAGAUUACAGUCCUUGCACCCUUGUGGAGGAGGGGAAGCCGCUGUAUCGUGGCUGUGAGGCCAGACGCACCUGGCACGAUAGGUACAUGGCUUUUGCCGUUCUGGAUUCCUGUGAGCUUUGGGAGAGGAGCGAUCCUGCUAUCUGGAAGGCUGCGUUUUGCCAGUGGUCUACAAAACACCGUUCUCAAAUGUCCGCACCGUCUGGGGACCUGGCAUCCAGCUUACGGAUGGGGAUUCACCCUGGCAGCAGCCAAGUCCCUGAGGAGAAGGAGGGAUGAAGCAAAGUCUGCAGCCAGCCUAACAGCUAAUUUUAAGAAAUAUGGAAUCAGCUGCUGUACCUCUGAACCUCUGGAGCACAUCUCUGGAGACAGCACUAUACUACAGUCAUAAUUUCAAGCAGAAAAACAAUAGCGGUGCCCCUGUAUGCCAGGAAGAGGUCUUUAACGCGGUGAGGCUGUGACCAACCCCUCUGCUGGACAGAAGACUGCAUAUCAGUUACAAAG
ensembl:lncRNA